GUGGGGGAUAUUGCACAAUGGGGGAAACCCUGAUGCAGCGACGCCGCGUGAAGGAAGACGUACUUCGGUAUGUAAACUUCUAUCAGCAGGGAAGAAGAUGACGGUACCUGACUAAGAAGCCCCGGCUAACUACGUGCCAGCAGCCGCGGUAAUACGUAGGGGGCAAGCGUUAUCCGGAUUUACUGGGUGUAAAGGGAGCGUAGACGGUGAAGCAAGUCUGAUGUGAAAACCCGGGGCUCAACUCCGGGAUUGCAUUGGAAACUGUUUUACUUGAGUGCUGGAGGGGCAAGCGGAAUUCCUGGUGUAGCGGUGAAAUGCGUAGAUAUUAGGAGGAACAUCAGUGGCGAAGGCGGUUUGCUGGGCCAUAACUGACGCUGAGGCACGAAAGCGUGGGGAGCAAAUAGGAUUAGAAACCCGUGUAGUCC
rnacentral:rRNA from 1 species